AAUACAGUUUCCAAAUAUGAGACUGUUUUUACUAUAAAAAUACAACUGGCCAGGUGCAGUGGCUCACGCCUAAAAUCCCAGCUCUUUGGAUGGCCAAGGCAGGCGGAUCACUUGAAGUCAGGAGUUUGAGACCAGCCUGGCCAACAGGGUGAAAUCUUCUCUACUAAAAAUACAAAAAUUAGCCAGGUGUGGUGAUGGAUUCCUGUAAUCCCAGCUACUCAGGAGGCUGAGGCAGGAGAAUCACUUGAACCUGGGAGGCAGAAGUUUCAGUGAGCUGAGAUCGUGCCACUGCAAUCCAGCCUGGGUGACAGAGCAAGACUUUGUCUCAAAAAAAACAAACAAACAAACAAACAAAAAACAAACUACAACUUCCUUACAAGACAUAAUGACUUCUUUUCUCCAUAAAUGUCUCUAGUAUUAGUUACAUGAUUGUAUAAUCUUCUACCUUAUUUUAACUUGUCAUAGCUAUAUAUCUGUGAAGAAAAUAGAAGAGCUAAUGAAUAUGAUUUCAAGAAAGCUUUGGACUUGUUGGAAUAUAUUGAUGAGGAAGAAGAUAUAAAUAUAAAUGAUCUAAAACUGGAAAUCCUUUGCAAAGCUCUUCAGAGAGAUAAGUAAGUGCUCGUGGCAUUGCUUCUUUGGAAAGUAUAGAAACUGCUUUUCCUCUGCUCUCACCACAUGACAGUCAAUAACAGAAGACUUCUGUGACCAGACGUGUUGGGAUUUCCCACCUCCUACACUGGGCAACCAGUGAGUUCUGUUGGUGGGCACCAGCUGAAUGUCCUUUAAUUUAGUUCAGUCCUGAUACAAUCUACAACCACAGGUUGAGGGCUCAGACUGCCCCUGACUUUGAUGCCAAUUUAAGCACCAGGGGGUUUUGCCUGUGUUCCUCACCGACCAGCUAUAAAUUGGGGUUCCCACAACCCCCUCCUUGGGUUUGAUUAAUUUGCUAGAGCAGCUCAUAGAAC
rnacentral:lncRNA from 10 species